rnacentral:rRNA from 1 species
GAUGAACGCUGGCGGCGUGCCUAAUACAUGCAAGUCGAGCGAACGGACGAGAAGCUUGCUUUUCUGAUGUUAGCGGCGGACGGGUGAGUAACACGUGGAUAACCUACCUAUAAGACUGGGAUAACUUCGGGAAACCGGAGCUAAUACCGGAUAAUAUUUUGAACCGCAUGGUUCAAAAGUGAAAGACGGUCUUGCUGUCACUUAUAGAUGGAUCCGCGCUGCAUUAGCUAGUUGGUAAGGUAACGGCUUACCAAGGCAACGAUGCAUAGCCGACCUGAGAGGGUGAUCGGCCACACUGGACCUGAGACCCGGUCCAGACUCCUACGGGAGGCAGCAGUAGGGACUCUUCCGCAAUGGGCGAAAGCCUGACGGAGCAACGCCGCGUGAGUGAUGAAGGUCUUCGGAUCGUAAAACUCUGUUAUUAGGGAAGAACAUAUGUGUAAGUAACUGUGCACAUCUUAACGGUACCUAAUCAGAACGCCACGGCUAACUACGU